GGACGGGUGAGUAACGCGUAGUAUCUAUCCAAGGGUGGGGGAUAACGCCGGGAAACUGGUGCUAAUACCGCAUGAUGACUGAGGUCCAAAGGUCGCAAGACGCUAUGGAGGAGCCUGCGUCCGAUUAGCUUGUUGGUGGGGUAAUGGCCUACCAAGGCUUUGAUCGGUAGCUGGUCUGAGAGGAUGAUCAGCCACAUUGGGACUGAGACACGGCCCAAACUCCUACGGGAGGCAGCAGUGGGGAAUAUUGGACAAUGGGCGAAAGCCUGAUCCAGCAAUGCCGCGUGGAUGAAGAAGGUCUUCGGAUUGUAAAGUCCUUUCGGCGGGGACGAUGAUGACGGUACCCGCAGAAGAAGCCCCGGCUAACUUCGUGCCAGCAGCCGCGGUAAUACGAAGGGGGCUAGCGUUGCUCGGAAUGACUGGGCGUAAAGGGCGCGUAGGCGGUUUGGACAGUUGGGUGUGAAAUUCCCGGGCUUAACCC
rnacentral:rRNA from 1 species